GGGGUGCAAGCCUGAACCAGCCAUCCCGCGUGAAGGACGACUGCCCUAUGGGUUGUAAACUUCUUUUGUAUAGGGAUAAACCUACCCUCGUGAGGGUAGCUGAAGGUACUAUACGAAUAAGCACCGGCUAACUCCGUGCCAGCAGCCGCGGUAAUACGGAGGGUGCAAGCGUUACUCGGAAUCACUGGGCGUAAAGAGCACGUAGGCGGCCUUGCAAGUCAGAUGUGAAAUCCAACGGCUUAACCGUUGAACUGCAUUUGAAACUGCAAGGCUCGAGUAUGGGAGAGGUAGGUGGAAUUCUCGGGGUAGGGGUAAAAUCCGUAGAGAUCGAGAGGAAUACUCAUUGCGAAGGCGACCUGCUGGAACAUUACUGACGCUGAGGUGCGAAAGCGUGGGGAGCAAACA
rnacentral:rRNA from 1 species